rnacentral:rRNA from 1 species
UGAAUACGAGAUGCUACGGCGUCGAAGCAGUGUAUGUCAGACUUCCAAGAAAAGCUCGCAAUGUCAUAAAUAAAGAAUGCCUGUACCAUAACCGACACAGGUGGGUAGGUAGAGUAUACUAAGGGGCGCGAGAUAACUCUCUCUAAGGAACUCGGCAAAAUAACUCCGUAACUUCGGGAGAAGGAGUGCCUUCUUUAAGAAGGUUGCAAUAACAAGAUCCAAGCAACUGUUUAUCAAAAACACAGGUCUCCGCUAAGUCGUAAGACGAUGUAUGGGGGCUGACGCCUGCCCAGUGCCAGAAGGUUAAAGAAGUUGGUUAGCUUUUGCGAAGCUGAUGACUGAAGCCCUGGUGAACGUCGGCCGUAACAAUAACGGUCCUAAGGUAGCGAAAUUCCUUGUCGGGUAAGUUCCGACCCGCACGAAAGGCGUAAUGAUUUGGAUACUGUCUCGGAGAGGGACUCGGUGAAAUAGACUUGUCUGUGAAGAUGCGGACUACCUGCACCAGGACAGAAAGACCCUAUGAAGCUUUACUGUAACUUGAAAUUGAAAUUGGACUUUAUUUGCGCAGUAUAGGUGGAAGGCGUUGAAAGUAAUCUUGCGGGAUUAGUGGAGCCAUCAGUGAGAUACCACUCCUAUAAUGUUAGAUUUCUAACUUUGGAUCAUGAUCUGGUCAAAGAACAGUUUCAGGCGGGCAGUUUGACUGGGGCGGUCGCCUCCCAAAUGGUAACGGAGGCGUACAAAGGUUUCCUCUGAACGGGUAGAAAUCGUAUCUAGAGUGUAAAGGCAUAAGGAAGCUUGACUGUGAGACCUACAAGUCGAGCAGGGACGAAAGUCGGUCUUAGUGAUCUGACGGUGCUGAGUGGAAAGGCCGUCACUCAACGGAUAAAAGUUACUCUAAGGAUAACAGGCUGAUCUCCCCCAAGAGUUCACAUCGACGGGGAGGUUUGGCACCUCGAUGUCGGCUCAUCGCAUCCUGGGGCGGUAGUACGUCCCAAGGGUUGGGCUGUUCGCCCAUGAAAGCGGUACGCGAGCUGGGUUCAGAACGUCGUGAGACAGUUCGGUCCAUAUCCGGUGUAGGCGUUAGAAUAUUGAGAGGAGCCUUCUUUAGUACGAGAGGACCGAGAAGGACAUACCUCUGGUGUACCAGUUAUCGUGCCAACGGUAAACGCUGGGUAGCUAUGUAUGGAGAGGGUAACCGCUGAAAGCAUCUAAGUGGGAAGCCCACCUCAAGAUGAGUAUUCCC